rnacentral:rRNA from 1 species
AUUGAACGCUGGCGGCAGGCUUAACACAUGCAAGUCGAGCGGGGUGAUGGUGCUUGCACUAUCACUUAGCGGCGGACGGGUGAGUAAUGCUUAGGAAUCUGCCUAUUUGUGGAGGACAACAUCUCGAAAGGGAUGCUAAUACCGCAUACGUCCUACGAGAGAAAGCAGGGGAUCACUUGUGACCUUGUGCUAAUAGAUGAGCCUAAGUCGGAUUAGCUAGUUGGUGGGGUAAAGGCCUACCAAGGCGACGAUCUGUAGCGGGUCUGAGAGGAUGAUCCGCCACACUGGGACUGAGACACGGCCCAGACUCCUACGGGAGGCAGCAGUGGGGAAUAUUGGACAAUGGGGGGAACCCUGAUCCAGCCAUGCCGCGUGUGUGAAGAAGGCCUUAUGGUUGUAAAGCACUUUAAGCGAGGAGGAGGCUUACCUAGUUAAUACCUGGGAUAAGUGGACGUUACUCGCAGAAUAAGCACCGGCUAACUCUGUGCCAGCCGCCGCGGUAA